rnacentral:rRNA from 1 species
AUUGAACGCUGGCGGCAGGCCUAAUACAUGCAAGUCGAACGGUAACAUGGAAGUAGCAAUACUUUUGAUGACGAGUGGCGGACGGGUGAGUAAUAUUUGGGAAUCUACCUAUCAGAGGGGGAUAGCAACUGGAAACGGUUGAUAAGACCGCGUACGCUCUGAGGAGGAAAGUAAUGGGAUCGAAAGACCAUUAGCUGAUAGAUGAGCCCAAACGGGAUUAGCUAGUAGGCGGGGUAAGGGCCCACCUAGGCGACGAUCUCUAGCUGGUUUUAGCGGAUGAUCAGCCACAUUGGAACUGAGACACGGUCCAAACUCCUACGGGAGGCAGCAGUAGGGAAUAUUGCACAAUGGAGGGAACUCUGAUGCAGCCAUGCCGCGUGUGUGAAGAAGGCCUUCGGGUUGUAAAGCACUUUAGUUUUCGAGAAAGGGUGCUGUUCAAAUAGGGCAGUAUUCAGAUGUUAGAAAAAGAAUAAGUACCGGCAAACUCCGUGCCAGCCGCCGCCGUAACAC